GGAGAGGUCGCAUAGCCCGGUCGAGUGCGCACGAUUGGAAAUCGUGUACGGAGCAAUCCGUCGCGGGUUCAAAUCCCGCCCUCUCCGCCA
rnacentral:tRNA from 1 species